rnacentral:misc_RNA from 1 species
AUGAGAAAUGUUAGAAAUACACUUAUGGGUUGGAGGGGUUCUGAAUAUAAAAAGAACAAGAAUUGAAUCCUUGUACUUGAGGCUUCCUAGCAGUUCCUACCUAGAAUAGGAAAUGAAUCAUGAAAUCCUCUUGAGGCCUUGCAUCAAGGCAUCUGUUUGUUCAGGCUUCCCAACCGAUACGCGAAUAUAACCCUUCAGUUCUUUGUGGUUGUAGUGUCGAACCAUUAUACCCAAACUUGCAAGAUCAUCCUUAAGCUUCUUAGCAUCUCUUCCAGAUUUAACCUC